rnacentral:rRNA from 1 species
AUAUCAAUAAGCGGAGGAAAAGAAAAUAACAAUGAUUUCCUUAGUAACGGCGAGUGAACAGGAAAAAGCUCAAAGUUGGAACCUGUUUGGCCUAGCUAAACCGGAUUGUAAACUGUAGAAGUGUUUUCCAGGCAAGCCGGACCGAUAAGUCCUUUGGAACAGGGCAUCAUAGAGGGUGAGAAUCCCGUCUUCGGUCUGAGCAUUUGCCUUUUGCGAUACACUUUCAAAGAGUCAGGUUGUUUGGGAAUGCAGCCUAAAUUGGGUGGUAAAUCUCACCUAAAGCUAAAUAUUGGCGAGAAACCGAUAGCGAACAAGUACCGUGAGGGAAAGAUGAAAAGAACUUUGAAAAGAGAGUUAAACAGUAUGUGAAAUUGUUAAAAGGGAACCGUUUGGAGCCAGACUGGCUUGUCUGUAAUCAGUCUAAGCUUCGGCUUGGAUGCACUUGCAGGCUAUGCCUGCCAACGACAAUUUGGCUUGAGGGAAAAAACUAAGGGAAAUGUGGCCCAUCCGCGGGUGUUAUAGUCCCUUAGAAAAUACCUUGGGCUGGAUUGAGGUACGCAGCGAAUGCUAUUUGGCGAGUUGGCUGGGAAUAUUUUCUGAGGUGCUUUGGUACUGAGGUUGAUAUUCCUAGUUACACUUCUAUUCGCUUAGGUUGUUGGCUUAAUGACUCUAAAUGAC